AGUGUAGUCUUGUCGCCUUGCCAGGUUUGUGAUCCAUUUUUUCUCCCAUACCAGCAGAGCUGGCCAGCCAAAAGGGGUCUGUGUUUACAUUUCCUUCAGCCACUUUGCCUAGUGGAGUGGCAAGCAAAAGGUUAAUGUCUACCAACAGUGGGCCAACAAUUAAGUCGUGCCCAGGUCUGUGCUGCUCUUUGGGACAGCAGGCUCUCAGAGAGCGUCGUGGCGCCUUGUGGGCAGGAAGGGGUUAAUGAGCCCUGCUGAUUCCUCUUGUGUCCUGUUACUGCUGAGGCAGACCUGCCCAGCCAGCUGAGCAACUUUCUCACCGGGUGCAGGAGGCAGAGCUGCUCUUGGGACCCCUGUUCACUUUCUGGUAUGGAGGGAUCUGCCCCUUCUGGGCAGCGUGGGGUGCUGGAGGGCAGUAUUGGUUGGAUCUGAAGACACUGGGGCUGUCCUGUUCCCAACCUGCUGGGACUGGCAGGUCACUGCAGAGCCUGGUCUCUGGCUCCUGGGCUGAGCUAAGCCUCCCAAUGCUGCCGCUGCCGCCACCCUUGCUGCUGCUCGUAGAAGGAGGCUGCACCAAAAGACACAGCUCUUGCUCCAACAGCCCAGUGUCUAUCAACCCCUGUCAUUAACUGGUCGGAGUCAGGAAGAGGUGGAUGUGAACUCAGUGGGAUUCUCCUGGAACCUCAAGGUCAGGUCUGGGUAUCCCAGGGAACUGUGCAGGAGGCUGGAGAGAGGGAGAAGGCAAGAGUGGAGAUGGUGGGAGUCGGGGGUGAGGAAGCAGGCAUAGAGGGGGGUCAGUGCUGGGGAAAACCCAGGCAGAUCCUGGAGUUGCCUGCCUUCUGGACCAGUAGGAAGGCUGCUGGGGGACCAGCCUGACUAUAAUCAGGAAUGUUUUCAUGAUGAUGUGGUUGAGAUAGGAGGCUGAGCUCAACCUUUUGGAGCUUGAGGAGAUCCUGUGGGAAGGGUGCCUAUUAACCAUCAGGGCCCCAGAAUAACCUCCUUGGGGUGAUCCCUACUCCUGCUUUGGGAGCCACAGUGGAGGUGUCCCAGCCAGAGUGAGUGAGUGAAUGAGUAUGUGUGUGUGUGUGUGUGUGUGUGUGUUGGAAGAAGGGUGAGGAGGAGAUUAUCCACAUUUUAUAAUGGAAGGGGCUAGAUUUGAAAUUUGAGGACCUGGGUUUGAAUCCCAACUCUCUAUAUUACUUUGGCAAAUUAUCUUCCCCCCUCCCCCUGUGGGCCUCAUUUUCUUUAUCUGUUAAAUCAAGG
rnacentral:lncRNA from 1 species